AUACGUAGGGGGCAAGCGUUGUCCGGAAUUAUUGGGCGUAAAGAGCACGUAGGCGGCUAUUUAAGUCAGAUGUGAAAACCUGAGGCUCAACCACAGGAUUGCAUUUGAAACUGGAUAGCUUGAGUGCAGGAGAGGAGAGUGGAAUUCCCAGUGUAGCGGUGAAAUGCGUAGAUAUUGGGAAGAACACCAGUGGCGAAGGCGAUUCUCUGGCCUGCAACUGACGCUGAGGUGCGAAAGCGUGGGGAGCGAACGGGAUUAGAUACCCCGGUAGUCCACGCCGUAAACGAUGGGUACUAGGUGUAGGAGGUAUCGACCCCUUCUGUGCCGCAGCUAACGCAUUAAGUACCCCGCCUGGGGAGUACGGUCGCAAGACUGAA
rnacentral:rRNA from 1 species